CAGAUUCUACUGUAUGCUCAACACCAUUAACAUUAACAAUAAUUUUACCUUCAGCAACAAGUUGAGCACUUUUUUCAACUUUUUCCGAUUCCGGCCACGAAAUCAUAGCUUCCUCAACAGCCUUGGCAUCACGUUUGAAACGUGGACCAAAUUUUUUGCGAUUAACUUCAACCUCGAAUUGUUCAACAACAACAGGUUCAGGAAGAGCCUCUUGAACUACUAAAGGAGUCUUGGUAGCUUUACUGUGAACGCUAAGAUCAUAGGCACUACGAUCAGCGCAACCUACACACUCGAUCCAGCCGUAAGAGCAUUGAAUUUCGGCAUCCCAGCAAUCGCAAGCAUAAUGAGCCAUUUCAUUGCUCAUAUGUUGCCUAAAACGAACACGGUUCAUAUCAAUACCAAUUUUCUCCAAGAAUAAGCUGAUACGGGCCAUAAAAUAACCUAAUGUAG